rnacentral:rRNA from 1 species
UUAUUAAAUCAUAGCAUUAAUGCAAUGGAUCUCAUUAGAACUCCACAGUUAAGCACGCACGGUCUAGAGUAGUACUGAGAUGGGUGAUUGCCCGGGAAGUCCUAGUAUUUUACAUG